AUUUACCUACUUCCUCCCAGAUCAAGCAUGGUGGUUAUCAAGUCUGGAAAGAGGUGUAUUCAGAAUAUAUAAGGAAAAAACUGAUUUUGAGCAGCGCACCUGGUUCUCAUUCCACUAAUCAAGCUCCUGCAGUAUUUCAACCCCAGUCCUCCUCACAUUCUUCGCCAGAUCGUCAGUUAACCACAUGUGGUAUAUGCGUCAAGGCCAACUAUCUUCUCCUGUAAGAUUCCCUGUAAUUUCUGUCUCCCUGGAUUAACCUGUUUUUCUCUGUGCCCAGGAUCACACUACCUCCGGGAAACCUGCUGAACGCCACACCCCGCUCUGCUCCUAUCUUGCCUGGGCUAACUCCCCUCCUCUGUGUUCUCCAUUCUGCCCUGUUGGAGCCAACCACCCAGUCCUCCGUUGCACCUUUCAAUAAAACCCCUUUGUUACCCCUUCGAA